AUUUCUACGAGACACUGCUACUUGUGAUAUGUGUGGUCACCCUACUGAAAAUGCUUAUAAUUUUUUUCUUUGAGGUCUUCAGUUCUCAGUACAAAGCAUUACUCUUUUAAAGUCAAUAAAUGCAAUGCAGCUGCAAGUUCCCAUAUCAUUAAAGUUAUUGCUGAGUGGUAAUGAGAUUCUUGAGUUCAAAGACAACAUAAAGAUUUUUUAAUAUGUUCAGAAGUACAUUCUGGAAAGCAAAGCUGCAAAAGAUUUUGAAAAUUGCAUUUUAAAAUACAUGCGAGUCUUUCAUGCAUGCCUGAUUAUAUCCUGUUGAGUCGGUACCCUCAAUUGUUUUCUCUCUUGCUUUUUUGUACGUAUUUGUUUUUCUUUCAUUAUUUUUAUUUCAUUUGAUCUUUUUUUCUUUUAAAUGUCCCUCUUAAUCCCAAUAACCACCCCUUAUUUCUUUUUGUUAGUUUAUUAUACAUAUCAAGUAAUCAUACGCCUUAUAUUAUCAUUAGGCCCCUAUAUACUUUGAAUGAUAUGCAUUAUGUAUUGAAAUAUUAUCAUCAAUCAUCACGUGUAUUGUGAUUCCUCAUGUACAUCAUUAUGUGGACUUUACCUUGUAUCUUUAAGGCUUAAUUGGCUCUGCCUUUUACCUAAUCCUUAUCAUGUUAUACAUAAUAAAAUACUGUUAAAUCUCUUCCUGGUAUUGUCCAUGUGAAGACCUGACCACCCAUAUGUACGAACAUUACACUGUAAAUUUGACAAAAUCCCCAAUUUUUACCCAAGGGUCCAUUAACAUAUCGGUCCAGCGGUCCUGGAGACGAUAAACAGAAUAAUCUGCAGUUAGAAGAAUUCAUGCAAAGUGUCAGCUCCAGCCGGUCAUCUGUGAUGACAAAAAGACUUGCGAUGGAUGGAUCUCACAAAAGGAAACGCAGUAUCUGGUGAGACAAACAUUUCUAUAGACGAGAUAAAGGACCGGGUGGAACGGUGCUAAUAAUUCAUGUCCCAGCACUACAUGUAUAAUCCUAAUCUGUAAUGACUCUUCCCGUACACAAGAGACAAAAUAUAGUAUUCCCAAUGAAAUUUCAGGGUCAAAAGGUCAUUACAUUGUAUGUCAAGGUCAAACUUAUUCGUCAUAUUUCACAUAGCAUCUUGUCAUAAACAAUAAUUGCCUACAGCACUGACAACAUCUUUACUUGUCUGUAAAAAAGCAACAUGUACAUGUUUUGUUUUCUUUAAACCGUCAGGGAUAUAACAUGGGUCAAAUGAUGAACUUCAACGGGAAACAAUAUAUAUCCCAAAUAAAGGGGAUGUACUUGACUGUUCAUCAUGUUGUUAGUACUUGUGGCCACUACAGGCGUUACUUUAGAUAUACUAAGGUACUCAUCGUGUUGUUAGUACUUGUGACCACUGCAGGUGUUACUUUAGAUGUAUUGAACAUGCGAUGCUUAAUACCAUCCCCAAUAUGCAUUAAAUGUUAUUCUAGA